UACAAACGCUGAAAUAUUAAAAAAAUAUAAGACACUGUUACCGGGAAAGCUUAAGUCGUUGAUACCAGAUCAGAGCUUACGAUUUGUUUGAAUUCCUCUGAAAAACAUCCUCUUCAUGCUGAUUCUUCUCUCUGCGGAGUGAAAUUGACAGCAAAUUUUAUAAUUUUACCAUCAUCCCCGUUUAAGCUGCAUCGUUGUUACCAUAAAGCACGCACAGCAGGCUCGGCUUGCGUGUGACUAUCUUAUCUCCAUCUCCACUUCCUUCUCUCCCAGAAUCACAGAUAUUCAAACCCGGAUUUCUCCCAGUGGCUUCUUUGGAAUGAAGCUGAAUCUGUUGAUUGCCCAAAAAUCUUCAACGGAAUUUUAUAGUCCUGUUUAAUGGGCUGCUUUUGUUCGAAGAAAGCUAAGUCACCAGGUUAUGAGGAACCCACUGUUCUUGCUGCUGAGACACCUUUCUCUGUGAGUGAAGUGGAGGCGCUACAUGAGCUCUAUAAGAAGUUGAGCAACUCCAUUAUUGAAGAUGGUCUGAUUCACAAGGAAGAAUUCCAGCUGGCACUCUUCAGGAAUAGAAACAAGAGAAAUCUGUUUGCAGACAGGGUUUUUGACUUAUUUGAUGUCAAGCGCAACGGGGUUAUUGAAUUUGGGGAAUUUGUUCGAUCAUUGGGUGUUUUUCACCCAAAUGCACCUAUGGAAGACAAGAUUACUUUUGCUUUUAGGUUGUAUGAUCUGAGACAGACAGGAUAUAUUGAACGAGAGGAGCUGAAGGAGAUGGUCUUGGCGCUUCUUCACGAGUCAGAUCUUGUACUUUCAGAUGAUAUCAUCGAAACCAUUGUGGAUAAGACAUUUAGUGAUGCUGAUACAGAAGGUGAUGGAAGGAUUGAUCAAGAGGAGUGGAAGGCAUUCGUGUCAAAACAUCCAUCACUGAUGAAGAACAUGACCCUUCCCUACUUAAAGGAUAUAACCUUGGCAUUUCCAAGUUUUGUGGUAAGAACAGAAGUUGAAGACUCAGAGGUCUGAGAUUUUGGUUUCAUCUUUGAACUACAGAGAUAUUUCUUGUCAACCUUUUUCUACAUUAACAAGGAUGUCCGAUGGAAUUUUCACCAACGGUUCCAGAAUCAAACUUGAAAGGACUUGGUUUUGCGAUUCUUUGAAGCUGGGUAAGCCAUAAUUCAUAAAGAUUGGUUUUUGUAUGCAGCUACAAGCUGCUGACGCAAAUUGUGCUUCGAGAGGCCCUUGUGUUACAUUGGAUAUCAGAGAGACACAUCUGGCCGGGUCAACCAUCUUGCUUUUUGUGGCUUUUGGCAGUGUCAGAAUUUUUGGAAACCACCCCCCCCCAAAAAAAAAAAAAAAAAAAAGUUCCAGUGACACUUGAUAAAUCGCCAAAGCCUAGUGUCUGAUCGUCUUUGCAUGUGAACCAAGCUUAAAUAGGGGAAUGUUUAUUUACAGUACAUUGGGUGGAAUGCUUGUCGCUUGAUCAGAGUCAGUUCAGAACCAGGCGCUCAGCGUCAGCGCAGGAAGCCAACGUUGUUGAGAAAAUGCUUCACGUCAUUGAUUAUACUAUACAACUUAGCCUUCAAUUAUUUUUCAUUGGCCUGGAUAAAGCUCGCAUUUAAUAUUAGCCCAGAGAUCUGUCAGCCGUUGAAUAUUAUCCAAAUUCCGCCAGUGGAAGGGUUAUCUCCAAUUUUCAGCAGACAACCUGCGAAGCCGAAGUGCGUGUUACAUGGCUACCUGGCAUUGGUCACCGGGUUUAGUUUUACUUUUUAGUGUUCAUUAUGUAGGUGAACAUUAAGAGCC